rnacentral:lncRNA from 1 species
GUAGUAGUUUCAUUCUAAGCUAUGCCCUCACCAUGCUCAUGGCCAAGGCCCCAUGUCCUGCUUGGCACUGAGGGUGCAGAAACCCACGGUGGGAGGAUUUUACCAGAGGGAAAAUGGAUUCUGGGACAUUAACAACCUUCUGAAAGAAAAAUUAAAUGGGAAGUUAUCCUCAGAGAAGCGUUACUCCCUCUCACAUCCCUUCCACCCUGUUCACUCUGCUCCCAACCCCUUGGAGCAUGAACGUCCUCACCAGAUGCUGAUGCCAUCCUCUUGAACAUCCCAGUCUCCAGAACUGUGAGCCAAAUAAACUUCUCCUGUUUAUAAAUUA